AAAAAAGAAAAGAAAAGUGGAAUGAAACAUGAAUGGUUCGAAGUAUGUAUCUGUAUUGACAUGCAUAAUGUAUCAAGUGUCUCGUUAGCCUUUUUAUCUUAGAGGAGUAUCUGUUCCCCUAUCCCCAUCCGAGGUAUCUGUUUUCCUCCUCCCCCAUCUGGUCUAAAAAGACAUAAAAGGACUGCUCCCUAUGGAUGACAACGUACCCUCUGAAGAGAGUGGUGACGCGAAUAUCUGUUAGCGGUCACAUUUGGCUAAGUACUGUCGUGACCAUAGAAUAUUUGAUAGGACCACUAUAGUUAGUACGCCCUUGGUCAUAGAUCGUACCAUGGUUUGGUAAGCCAAAAAUAUAAUUGAGCAACUUGCCGUUAUCUGUAUCUAAUCUGGUCAUUCCACAUGGGUAGUCGGAAUUUUGUAUCUGCCUUCAGAGAUGGAAGUUGUACGACUUCCCGAAGUAUGACAUGAAAAUCUGAGCAUUUCAUUAUUUAUUUUAUUUUCUCUAUUGUUGGUAUGCUCUGUGUUUUAUUUUGAUUGUUGG
rnacentral:lncRNA from 1 species